CUCUCCUGGUGAUGCUCCUCAGGUUAGUAUUUGAUCAUUUUCUCUAUUCACACUUUACUCUUAACAAAAUGGAAAAAGAAAAUUUUUCAUUUUGGAUAUGGUACUGAGAAAACUUGCAUUUUAAAUAUGGUACCAAGGAAUAAUCUAUUAUGUUUUAUUGAUGGAGCUCUUGGAUAACCUAGAUUAUUUUAAGAUGCUUCUCAUUGUCGAUUGUAAGUGUAAGGUAAAUUGUGCCUAAUGUUGCAUGUUUUUUACUGUCUAUUAAAGUAUCUGUAUAACUUGCUUAAUGAAUGUCUGUUAGAUUACUUAAUUUUUAUCUUUCUUUUUAUUAGUUUAUCGUUCUGAUAUUGCCAGGCAGAGGAGGGUGAAGAAGA
rnacentral:misc_RNA from 1 species